rnacentral:lncRNA from 1 species
AUGAUAGUAUACAUGUUAGAAUGUCAUUCUCCCAAAUCAUCCCACCCUCUCCCUCUCCCUCUGAGUCCAAAAGUCCGUUAUACACAUCUGUGUCUCUUUCCCUGUCUUGCAUACAGGGUCGUCAUUGCCAUCUUCCUAAAUUCCAUAAAAAUAAACGACCCAAUCAAAAAAUGGGCCAAAGAACUAAAUAGACAUUUCUCCAAAGAAGACAUACGGAUGGCUAACAAACACAUGAAAAGAUGCUCAACAUCACUCAUUAUUAGAGAAAUGCAAAUCAAAACCACAAUGAGGUACCACUUCACACCAGUCAGAAUGGCUGCGAUCCAAAAAUCUGCAAGCAAUAAAUGCUGGAGAGGGUGUGGAGAAAAGGGAACCCUCCUACACUGUUGGUGGGAAUGCAAACUAGUACAGCCACUAUGGAGAACAGUGUGGAGAUUCCUUAAAAAAUUGCAAAUAGAACUACCUUAUGACCCAGCAAUCCCACUGCUGGGCAUACACACCGAGGAAACCAGAAUUGAAAGAGACACAUGUACCCCAAUGUUCAUCGCAGCACUGUUUAUAAUAGCCAGGACAUGGAAACAACCUAGAUGUCCAUCAGCAGAUGAAUGGAUAAGAAAGCUGUGGUACAUAUACACAAUGGAGUAUUACUCAGCAGUUAAAAAGAAUUCAUUUGAAUCAGUUCUGAUGAGAUGGAUGAAACUGGAGCCGAUUAUACAGAGUGAAGUAAGCCAGAAAGAAAAACACCAAUACAGUAUACUAACACAUAUAUAUGGAAUUUAGGAAGAUGGCAAUGACAGGGUGGGAUGAUUUGGGAGAAUGCCAUUCUAACAUGUAUACUAUCAUGUGAAUUGAAUCGCCAGUCUAUGUCUGACGCAGGAUGCAGCAUGCUUGGGGCUGGUGCAUGGGGAUGACCCAGAAAGAUGUUAUGGGGAGUGAGUUGGGAGGGGGGUUCAUGUUUGGGAAUGCAUGUAAGAAUUAAAGAUUUUAAAAUUAAAAGAAAAAAAAAUAAAAUUAAAUAAAUAAAUAAAUAAAUAAAUAAAAAGAAAAUUGGGUGAAUGUAGCUGGAUAUAAAAGGUAAUAGUUAAAACUGGGGAUUUAUUUGAUCUUUCAGAAAGUAAAAAUGAGACGUUUUAUAAGUUUGACACUGUGUUAGUCACUAAGGUUGGAGCUAUAAACAGAGAAAGUAUCUUGCUCUUUGCAUUAGGAAGGCAAAGUCAUCUGGAAAGAACAUGGAAAGGC